AURAAGRAUAAUUAGUGGCAGACGGGUGAGUAAUGCAUAGGAAUCUACCUAGUAGUAUGGGAUAGCCACUAGAAAUGGUGGGUAAUACUGUAUAAUCCCUGMGGGGGAAAGAUUUAUCGCUAUUAGAUGAGCCUAUGUUAGAUUAGCUAGUUGGUAGGGUAAAGGCCUACCAAGGCGAUGAUCUAUAGCUGGUCUGAGAGGAUGAUCAGCCACACUGGAACUGAGAUACGGUCCAGACUCCUACGGGAGGCAGCAGUGGGGAAUAUUGGACAAUGGGCGCAAGCCUGAUCCAGCUAUGCCGCGUGAGUGAGGAAGGCCUUAGGGUUGUAAAACUCUUUCAGUAGGGAAGAUAAUGACGGUACCUACAGAAGAAGUCCCGGCAAACUCCGUGCCAGCAGCCGCGGUAAUACGGAGGGGGCAAGCGUUGUUCGGAAUUAUUGGGCGUAAAGGGCAUGUAGGCGGUUCGGUAAGUUAAAGGUGAAAUGCCAGGGCUUAAC
rnacentral:rRNA from 1 species